ACACGACCUCAGCUCAUGCGGGGCUACCCAUUGAGUUUAAGCAUAUCAAUAAGCGAAGGAAAAGAAACUAACAAGGAUUCCCCUA
rnacentral:rRNA from 1 species